rnacentral:rRNA from 1 species
AUUGAACGCUGGCGGCAUGCCUUACACAUGCAAGUCGAACGGCAGCACGGGAGCAAUCCUGGUGGCGAGUGGCGAACGGGUGAGUAAUAUAUCGGAACGUGCCCAGUAGUGGGGGAUAACUGCUCGAAAGAGCAGCUAAUACCGCAUACGACCUGAGGGUGAAAGGGGGGGAUCGCAAGACCUCUCGCUAUUGGAGCGGCCGAUAUCAGAUUAGCUAGUUGGUGGGGUAAAGGCCUACCAAGGCAACGAUCUGUAGUUGGUCUGAGAGGACGACAAGCCACACUGGGACUGCGACACGGCCCAGACUCCUACGAGAGGCAGCAGUGGGGGAUAUUGGGCAAUGGGCGAAAGCCUGACCCAGCCACGCCGCGUGAGUGAUGAAGGCCUUCGGGUCGUAAAGCUCUGUGGGGAGGGACGAACAAGUGCGUACCUAACACGUACGUGCCCUGACGGUACCUCCUUAGCAAGCACCGGCUAACCAUGUGCCAGCCGCCGCAGUAACAC